rnacentral:rRNA from 1 species
UACGUAGGUGGCAAGCGUUGUCCGGAUUUACUGGGCGUAAAGGGCGCGUAGGCGGCCUGCUAAGUCGAACGUGAAAUCCCCGAGCUCAACUCGGGAACUGCGUCCGAUACUGGCAGGCUUGAAUCCGGGAGAGGGAUGCGGAAUUCCAGGUGUAGCGGUGAAAUGCGUAGAUAUCUGGAGGAACACCGGUGGCGAAAGCGGCUCACUGGACCGUCUCUGACGCUGAGGUGCGAAAGCGUGGGGAGCAAACAGG